UACGUAGGGUCCGAGCGUUGUCCGGAAUUACUGGGCGUAAAGAGCUCGUAGGUGGUUUGUCGCGUCGGGAGUGAAAUCCCUGGGCUUAACCCAGGGCCUGCUUUCGAUACGGGCAGACUAGAAGCAUUCAGGGGAGAACGGAAUUCCUGGUGUAGCGGUGAAAUGCGCAGAUAUCGGGAAGAACACCGGUGGCGAAGGCGGCUCUCUGGGCCUGUCCUGACGCUGAGGAGCGAAAGCGUGGGGAGCGAACAGG
rnacentral:rRNA from 1 species